rnacentral:rRNA from 1 species
GAACCUCUGCUUUUACCAUACCUUGCUUGCAAGCACAAACCUCAGCGCGAGGACGGGCAGCCUAGGGAUAGGGGUCGGCGGAGUGUGAGAGAGGGUACGGGUCGGCGGAGCGGCAGCUGGAGAAGGCGCCGCUCUUGCCUCGAGCCUGACGACGACGACGACGAGAGAGUCUAGGGGUAAGGCUAGGGGUAAGGCCACCGGCAAAAGACGAGCUUAGUUCGGAAGAGGCAACCCCAAGCCAAGCUACACCACAUGUCGCUCCUCCAGCCAGCGGUAGGAGUUGGUCCAUCGGCCGGGCCUGCGUUUUGGUAUGACGAGGGGUAGGGAGUAGGGUAGGACCGGCUAAGGUGGUAGCUAGGGACGACGACUUACUUACUAGUUCACAAAGUCAGAAGUGUUGUGUGUGACGCCUGCGCUCUCGGAGUUGUCGUCGAUGUUGACGGUAACGGGUUGUUGUUAGACGGUGUUCCUCAAUUUUUACUCGUUAACUCUGCGAAUCGUGUUAUUACUGUUUGAUCAUUAUUUAUUAGUUCUAGCUCUACAAAUGGUGUUACCUGAACACAGGAGUGACAUGCCCUCUGCUGCGGUCGGAGUUGGGUCAGUUGAGAGCUGCCAGCAUUAACAUCGAAUAGUUACGUUCCGCUACUCCGCAGUUCUCGUGACCCACUUCUCGACCACUGUGCCGACCAGUAUGUUGCUUGACUUUAAGGCUAUCGCCGUUUACUUCGGUAGUUUUACUGCUCAGACACUAGGGAUGUCUUCCUUUCCAAGUUUUAGGAGUACAUAGUUCAUGUCACCAUGUCAAGUUCCCGAAUUCAUAUAUACCUCUUGGCUUCCGGAAGCAUCUGUCAAAUUCCCGUUACCUUGUUUGACACGUUCCUAGCAGGGUUUAAGGCGACACUUUGAGAAGUCGAUACUCGUUCGCAGUUCCACAUUCAAUGUCCAGUUGUCAAUUCUAGUCGGACUUUACUUUUGCUUGGCCUCCUCCAGGCAUAGAAUAUGGCCGGUCUUUUGCUCGUCUUUGCGAUUAGGUUUGUCCCGGAAUGGCCAUCGUCUGACCCCUAAUCUUACGAGUCGGAUCAGGUGAGAACGCGGAACCUCGACCUCGGUGUCGACCGUAGUAGCGGUACAGACGACGAAUAGGGUACCUAUACCAAUCCCCAUCCUAAUGACAAGUCUGUCUCUUCAGAGGGGCACCAUACAAAGUACGUAACCUGUGUCACAUGACACUUCUUCCGAAAGUCACGAGAUAUGUCUCCCUCCGAAGGCAGUAACUAACCUCGACAGGGAAUACAACCUGAAUUGAAACGACAUAUGCUAAGAGACUUCUUGACCGAGGAGACCUGUUUACGUAAACCAGAACGUUUCAUGUUGCUCAAAGUCUAACAUUGUUCCGAACCUAAACCUCGACACCGACAUUGGUAUCCCUUCUGACCGCAUGGGAGAAACUACGACAGUCCUCUUCUUACGUCUACCAACCGACCUUGGACCUUAGUGCGACGAAGACAACAAGUGACCUCCUCCGUUUCUCCGUAAGUCCUUCUUACGUCUACCAGCCGACCUUAGUGCGACGAAGACAACAAUUACCUCUUGCGUUUCUCCGUAAGUCCUUCUUACGUCUACCAGCCGACCUUAGUGUGACGAAGACAACAAUGACCUCUUCCGUUUCUCCGUGAGGUCAUGUUACCAUACUGACUACGUAAGUCCUUUGACAACCGGUGCUUCCUAAACCACGAGACAAGUUCCCAGAACACGGGUUGAGUCACUUCGACCACGUAAGGUAUCGGCGUAAGCAGUGCAUGCUCCUACAAGAUCAUCAUCUUCGCUCCGGCUCCUAUCUGAUCGGGACAGACACAAAUAAUUGAACAUGACAUAAAAACAUCCACAACUCAACGAAUAAAAACAAUACGUCCCGCUCAUGUUCCUGUUAACCUGGCUGGCUCCGAGGUAAGUCGUAUUCCGGGAGCGUCAGCGUCGGGGACAGCUAUAUAGAUAGGAUGAUGACCAGUUCCGGGAUUAACAACGGCGUGACGUGAGAACCCUUUCAUAAUUCAACCGACUUGUACGUAACCGUAAAGGAUCAGACGGACAAACAUUAACCACUGAACAUUCAGGGUAAACAGAUGUCGGUGACCCACAACAUAGUGAUCAUCAUCAAAGGUACUCGUACUCACUACUUUACAGUGAACUGCUUGUUGACAAAAACGGGUCAAAGACUAUAAUACAUGACUUAAAUACAUUUAAAACGAAGACCCAAAUGUAUAGAACAACCACCCAGCUAACUAAGAGGGCCAUCUUUGGUGCAUUGGUUC